UACGGAGGAUGCGAGCGUUAUCCGGACUUAUUGGGUUUAAAGGGUGCGUAGGCGGCCUGCCAAGUCAGCGGUAAAAUUGCGGGGCUCAACCCCGUACAGCCGUUGAAACUGCCGGGCUCGAGUGGGCGAGAAGUAUGCGGAAUGCGUGGUGUAGCGGUGAAAUGCAUAGAUAUCACGCAGAACCCCGAUUGCGAAGGCAGCAUACCGGCGCCCGACUGACGCUGAGGCACGAAAGUGCGGGGAUCAAACAGG
rnacentral:rRNA from 1 species